rnacentral:rRNA from 1 species
GUGCCAGCCGCCGCGGUAAUACGUAGGUGGCAAGCGUUGUCCGGAUUUAUUGGGUUUAAAGGGUGCGUAGGCGGCUUAUUAAGUCAGUGGUGAAAUACUCUAGCUCAACUAGAGGGGUGCCAUUGAUACUGAUGAGCUUGAGUACAGAUGAGGUAGGCGGAAUUGACGGUGUAGCGGUGAAAUGCUUAGAUAUCGUCAAGAACACCUAUAGCGAAGGCAGCUUACUAGGCUGUAACUGACGCUGAGGCACGAAAGUGUGGGGAUCAAACAGGAUUAGAAACCCUGGUAGUCC